CAAGGAUGUAUUUUGUGUUGAAGUGUACUCUGCUCGCGCUACGUUGUAAAAAUUAUGGCGCGCUAAUUAAGGCCAGGUAGUGCAAAGAAGAUAUAUACGGUAAAUUAUCCAAAAAAUUCAGCCUCCAUAGCGAAAAAUCCGCAAAUGGGUUAAACCUGAUCGACUUCGCCGGAGCCCCAUAUAUGGCUGUCUGUAGUACUAGAUUCCAGCACAAAAGAGUUCAUCAAGCUACUUUGCUAUCCUCUGAUAGAAAAAGUUUUGACUUCGAUCAGAUCGAUCAAGUUGCAUUGUAAUUGACGGAGUUCUUGUCUCUCAUUAUUGAAAUUUCAACAUUAAAACUUGAUAGAAUUAAAUAUUAGAUUAUAUUUCAAUACAAUAUUCUAUUGAAAUUACGAUUAAAGUUGCCGUUGUUCGUAAUAAAUUAGCCAAAAUUCCUCUAAAAACUAUUAAGGAGGGACUGCCCGGAAAUGUUAUUAAAAUUGCGGAUUUUCGAGCGAACGAAUUGAAGAGUUUCAUUUCUUGCCAUCUUUGCUGCAAUUGUGACCGAUAUCUGGGUUUGUAUGAAUAUCAUUGCGGCUUCUUAUAAACUUUUGAAAAUUCAGUUGUUAAAAAACAAUUGUGGAACUUCAUUAUACAUAUUAUUUUCGUGCAAAUUGAAAGAAAGCAAUCAAAAUGAUUUACUAUACCUUCCGAAACAAUAAGACUGACUUUCUAAGCUUAUUAAUAAGUAAAACGGAAGCGAACUGAUACCCUCUGGAAACAAUAAUUUGAAUAAAGCAAAACGAGAUACUCAAAUAAUACAUAUAAAUUGAGACAAUAAGAGAAGAAAGGUCUUCUACUAGCAAAAUGUGGGCGGCUACUCUGUUCUUUCGCGGAAAAUUUAUGUGGAAAUAGACAAGAUAGGAAUAUUUUGUGUGCAAUUUUUUUUAUUCCUUUUGAUUGGAGAACAUUUGUUUAGAAGUAAAAUGUAAAGUAAGAAUGGCAUUAACUUUUUCAGAGAAUUGCAAUUGUACUAAACGACAAGUGGAAAUGAAUUUAAGCCAGAAACCAAAACCAGAAACUUACAAGACAUCCCCCAGGGAAUCGUUUGUUUUAGGCAAAUGGCUUUAUGUGCGCUCUUACUGCGCACAGCCUCACAUUGCACAGAUGUCGAAAUUAUGGCACGUAAUGGACACUUCUGUGGAUAAAUGUAAUUGAAAGUAAUGUAAUGUUUUGAAUUUAUUUAAAUUGAUGAACUUAAUGACGCAAGAACAUUUAAUGAAUGGAAAAUAAUGAAAAUCAAUAAAAGGUUGUUUACACAA